GACCCAAGAUGUGCGACUCCAGUAGCUCGGGGUGAGUCUCCAAGAAGUCGAGCACCGUGGACUCGCUGGGACUCGUUCGAUGAUGGCCUGUGCCUGGAGUGGAUUAGAGGCGGACCAAGGGUGGCCCAGGAGCGCUCCAGACAUCACUCGUCACUGAUGUUAGAACGUGGCCAGGAGCUGAACCUCGGCUCGCCAGGUUUAUCGCACAGCGCACCAACCAUUGUGCCACUGUUACACCUUAGAGACAAUGGUUAUCCGUCUGUUUAAACUGGAGGUGACCGCACCGCUCAUAUAGGUCUAACGCUCUUGUAUACGGCAAAAUAAUACGCUGAGGAUAAUGGAUAUUCACAUUUCCCGUGUAUCAUGCUAUUUUUAACAUCAAUUUAGAAUAAUUAAUUAGCAUAUACCGCUUGUGUUGCGGUCAAAACGUCGUGGGUUUUUUGCUUUUAAUUUUGAUUUUUGUUUUCUAUUUCCGUGACUUUUACCGAAAGAACCAAGAAUAUAGCAUAUGCCUGUGUAAUGUUUUAUGUUUUACUUUACGUGAAUGCCAUUGGUACGCAGUAAACCAUGACGGCUGCAAACAUCAUUAAUUCCAAUCUUGAACAAAAACGUGUUAAAAUUCUAUCACGCGUUUGCAAUCUAAUGGAUAAAAUCUGUCUUGAAAGAUACUGUUUUUGUUUUUCACAGGGUCAGCGUUUGUCGUGGGAUAUUUCACAAUGUUUGGUUUGCAUCCCCAUAGGGUUCUGCAAUUAUGAGCAGCACAUACUUUCCGUUACCCGUCACAGUAUAACUUUGCCAUGGCCAGAGGUUGGUCAAUACAGUAAUGCAAACACUGUA